CCUGGCGGCACUAGCGCGUGGUCCACCUGACCCAUGCCGAACUCAGAAGUGAAACGCCGUAGCGCCGAUGGUAGUGUGGGGUCUCCCCAUGUGAGAGUAGGGAACUGCCAGGC
rnacentral:rRNA from 1 species